CGUGGGAAAGAUGCUAAAAGGUGUUUGAAGAUGAGGAAGAAAAGGGAAGUUCUGGGAGCUGGUGAAGAAACCCACAACUCCUCAAGGUCAGCCAUGGGGAAGAGCUAGGAGCUCAGAAUCCAACCAGCAAGAGGACAUUUUAAAACAGCGAGGGAGUAUUCAUGUGACUUGGGAACUACUGAACAGACUUGGAUUCUGAAACAAAUAAUAUGAAAUGGACACUGCAGCCUCCAUUUCCUAGUGAGGAUGGUGGAGUUUAGUGGAGAGACACAGAGCUUCUAAGGUAGCUGUGGCAGAGCAUCAAGAAGUGACACCCUUAUUGCAACAUGUGGCCUGUUCCCCAUGGUAGCACUUUAACUGACUGUCCUCCCCUCCAAGUUUGGAGCUGUUCAGCCAGAAAGAGUGCCAAGUUGGUGAUUAUAACUUGGGCAUUGUUUCUGGCUGAACAGCCUCCAAACUUGACUAUCUGGCUCUCCCAGAGAUUCUAUGCAUUUCCCAAUAGCUUUUAGUUAUUAUUAUUAUUAUUUGCUUAAACUGAUUAGACUCGGAUCUGCUGUUUGCACUCAAAAACUCUUCAACAACCAAAUUUGGUCUAACUUGUGCUUUCCUUUUACAGUGGCUGUAGUAAUGGGGGAUGUGUUAAAAUCAUAUUUUACAGGAAAGAAUAUUCAAUAUACUGAAACAAGACAUCUUCCUUAACCCAAUCGUAGUGUUAGAUAACCACAGACUGAAUUUAAGAAGUAUGCUUUGAGUAUAAUUAUAUGUAUCUUGCAGGAUGAAUUUGAGGAUUAUCAGUAACAUGUAUAAAAUCUUUGCCACAAUCUGUGACAUUUAAUAGGCCUCAGUAAAUGUUAUGAAUUAUUUAUUACAUAAUGUUAGAUAUAUGUUCAUGUUAGAUGUUGAUCAAAACUUUAUUUUAUUUAAUUCCCACCAGGCACUAUUUUAGGUGCAGUGAACAAAGCAGUCAAAAAUCUGUUUUUUUUUAAGUUCACAUCCUAAUAGAUGAAGAUUGAAAAGAAAUAUGUCAAGCAAGUAAAUAUGCUUCAUAUUAAAUUCUGACAAUGCUAUGGAGAAAAAGCAUGGGGGUGGUUAGAAGGGAAAUGUGAGGGAGGGUGGAAGAGGGUUACAAUUUUAGAUAGAGUGUUCAGGGAUGAUUUCAUUGAAAAAGUGAUAUUUGAGCACAGACCUGAAAGAGGGGUGAGCCAUUAUUGUAUAUCUUUUUUGUUUACUAUACUUGUUUCUUGGAUUAUUUUCCUUUAACAUUUAGUGCUUUCUGUUAGGGUAUUCAAUGUGAUUGAUAUGUGCAAAUGUACAAGAGAGGAAAGAGUAUUUCAUGAAAAGGGUUAAAUAAGUGCACAGGCUCUGUGGUGAGAGCCCGGUACCUCUGGAAUGGUGUGUGUGUGGAAAAGAGUAGAAAAUUAGUCAUGUAACCAGCCAGCCAGAUUAUGUAUGCUUUAGAGGCCAUUCAUAUGACUUUGGCUUACUCAGAGUAAGACGGGAAUAGGAGAGUGACCUGAUCUGGCUUAAACAUAUAACCUGAAUAUACUUUUUAGCCCCUUAAUUAGUGAGACAUAAAAGCAAGAGAAAAUAAUUGUCUCCCAUUCCUCCCUAAAGUGGUCACAGGUAUUGAUCAAAUUAAGUAUCCUUAGCACUCAGUUUUAAAGUAUUACAUGGUAUAAUGUAGAGUUGAAGCAAACUGAGACUUUCCUCCCCCACCUGAGUGUAAAACAAAAUGAUCAAUUUCCUUAAUAGUGCACUCCAGUCCCCUAAUCUCUCAUCCUUAGUCCCACUCAUUAGAAAUAAAGGCGUGUUUGUUAUCGACUCAACUACUUUGUCUUGUUUAGGAUGCAAAGAUUAGUCAUUAAUUCUAGUUUCUUAAUAUAGUACCCUAAUGUUCAUAAAUUUGCUUUUCAUUCUCAUUUCCUCCUUCUUCAGUGUAAAAUAAUCUCAAUAGAACUUUCAUAUAUAAGGGACAGAGAUCCUUUCAGUUACCUUGAGAAAAAGGGUUUGACAGAAGGUGCAUAUGGAUUAGAACUGGUCCUGAGACCAUUAGGUCCUGAGAAAACUCCAAGGACUGGUACAUCUGUGGGCCUCUAUGCCUCUCUUAGUUAUCUGUCCAUUCUCUGUUGUCUUCUUCACUGUGGUGUAUCUUUUUUGCUUCCCUUUUCUUUCAGCUUGCCAGUGCCCAACUUAAUUAAACCUUGCAACUUCCUCUCCUUUUCAUUGUGAUUUGGAGCAAAUUCAUGUGAGACUGUGGUUGUAAUUCCUGGCAUAGAACACCUAAAUCACCACAUCUUUUCAAGCUGCAUGACAUAUAUAAUAGAUCAUUAGCCAGCCUGUUAAUUAGUUGCACUUAGGAGAGUUGCCCUAUUCUCUCUUCCCUUUAGUUGGGACAGAGGAAUGAGUUCACAUGAUUAAAGAACAUGGCCACUUAGAAGAAUAGUACAGAAUCCUUUUCAGGUCAUGUUGACAUUCCAAGGAAUGAUUGACAUAUUUCAAUAACAAGUAUUUGUUUACAUUUUAAGAGUCAAACUAGAAAAUUUGAAAUUUGCUUGAAGUGGAAAUGUAGAAAUGUAUCAUAACUCUUUAUGACUAUUAAUUUAGUGCUGAGUUUCUUAAUAGCAGUAAAGUGACAAACUCCUGAGAAAUAUGUAUCCAAACCUUCUGAUAAGGAGGCAAUGGGUAAUUUUAAAACACAAAUUCAAUAUGUCUAUUAUUUUUAUAAUAUAAACAUCAGAAAGUAAGUUGACAACAUCUUGGCUGGGGGAGGGGCUAUGCAGAAGAUAAAUUAAGAAUUUUAAAAGUGAGAUUUCAGAAGGUUCUAUGUUCACAGAAGGCAUGAUUUCUAUUUUGCAGAUGUCAUUACUGUCUUUGUAGAAAAUCUCACUCCAUAAACGCUACA
rnacentral:lncRNA from 10 species